UACGGCGUGUUGUUAUUGCUCCGUCUUCAACGGUUGUCGUGCGAGCUGCGUCGAUGUGUUUGUUUGACCGUGUGUUAUUAGGUUUGCUGUAAUGAAAUGAGACGUAGUUCGCGAGCACGAAAGUGCCAGAAGAUGGCUUGAGUCUCGCUGUAAGCACGCCGUAUGCGUGGCGCGCCAGCUAAAUGUGGACCAACGAUUUUCAUGCCAUGGAGUGCGUUCCCUUUGUCUCCGCUUGUGUUCGUGGAAAGUUUGGUGGACGGCGCAGAGAAGUAAUGCGUAUUAUUAGCGCGCCUCAGCUCGUCCACUACCCAGUGGCUUGUUUGCUGCAAGUAACAUCGCAGACGCAUCACUGGAAACUUGGAGAGUGCCUUUCGACCUCGUCGUACUGUUGAAACGUGGCGAGGCCGUGACCCACAACAUUAACUACAAGAUCGAGGAGCCCCAAGAAAUGCCGACCCUGUGGAUAUAUGGCUGCAGCAGCAUGGCGUGUGAUCUGGAUCGUCAUGACAGGCUCCACCGUCGCCGUUACUAGACGGACCAAAUGAGGCCAAAAACUAGCCUUUCCUCGCUCCAUUCCUGGGAAGUAAAAUAGCAGGUGGUCAUGUAAGAAUGAACUUGCAACCAUGUGGGCAGUAGCCAAAGCUCCCUACAGUUCAUGCUGGUGGUGGAAUGAUAAGACAAACCGCAAUAUUUAUUUGUUUACUUAUUCACUUAAUAUUUAUUUAUUCAUAUCUCAUGAAUACUGUGCAGUUUUUUUAGCAAGGAGUCAGGUAAAAUAAAGAAAUAUUGUUGCAUCAAAGUAAACGUUAUUUGAAAAAGCAUAAUUCACGUAGCACGAAUUCAUGGAAACUAAAUUUUGAAGAAACAGAGCAGUAAGGUUAACACAUCUUAUAUAACAAAAAAUGAGAUCACAUUUCUGUUGGACCUAAUACCAUAAUUUAAUCUGUCAAAUUAGAGAUACCAUAUGCUGCUCUAAUAUACAAUCACUAAUUUAUGAGUAGAUGCGCGAAACUCUCAAACGUUGCAACAAUUUCAUGCUAGCUGUAAAUUCAUAUAUACAGUUUGUUGACCUUAGACAUAGCAGAUGGAGUCUGCAGAACUAUGAUAUCUCUUUCUGGCACAGAGACGGGCAUUAGUAAGCUUCGUGGUGUUAUUUUUCUUAAACCUGCCAAAUAGUCCUUCCUGCAACAGGUAGAAUUCUCAAAUGCCGCAAACUUAAUUCAAAUUAGUGCUGUGGUUGUCUCAAAAGUAUUUCUGUAUUUUGGAUGUAUUUGAGUAGGAAAAUUUACAGAAUUAACGAACUUGUGCUAGCUCUUUUUUUUAUUUACAGUUGCAAACUAAGUCCUUUUCCUUCAAGUUUUGCUAUUUUCAGCAAAUUUUAAUAAAAAUUGAUGGUGUUAAUGUAAAAACUAUAAUUUAAACAUUUUUAAAUGUAUCAAACCUCAUCAAAUUUGGUUGCAUAGUUGCCGAGAAAAACGAUUUUACUGUUCAUGUGCAUUACAUAGGAGCUCCUGAGCUAGAUCUCUUUUUUAGUCAUUGCGUGUGUCGGUCUGGUUUGUAUUUCUCACCCUAAUUAGAAUAUUGGCUCUGAUCUCAAAAUUGUUUCCCUUACAACGAAAUACAAGCUUUUAAACUUUUUACGAUAUAUGCUGUACUGCUCUAUGAUAACCCCUGUUUGCCACAUUUUUGCAGGGCCUACCAGUGCUAAUUUUACACAUAAACAUAGACUAAAAUGCUGUGUGGUUUCGGUAUAUGGUGUACUUAUCUGUGAAAGCCAUUAUUUGCCACAUUUUUGCAGCGACUGCCAGUGUUAUUUUUGCUCAGACUAAAAUGCUGUGUCGUUUCGUCAGGCUGACACAACAUUGCAGUGCACAUUCAUAUCAGUCUAUUUUCAGGCUUUAGUAUCCAAACAUUUAAUGUGCACUGCUGGAACAGGCACUCCUUUUGCAGUUUUAAUGGUAUGGUUUCUUGUCCUAGUCAAGCCUGUUAUUGCGAGGUGUCAACUGUAAUCAAGUCUGCCACUGAUUCUUUUACCUCAUGUUUCGUGUGUUUGCACCACCAGCUUGACCUGAGAAGCAUGUUGGCAGCUACAGUUUGUGUGUUGCAAGUUCUAGUCUGAAGUGUGUAUGUCACAUAUAUGAAGCAUGUAUCUAGUCUGAAGUGCAAUAAACAUUUCAAACUGAAUA